rnacentral:rRNA from 1 species
AAAAACGACUCUCGGCAACGGAUAUCUCGGCUCACGCAUCGAUGAAGAACGUAGCAAAAUGUGAUACUUGGUGUGAAUUGCAGAAUCCCGUGAAUCAUCGAGUUUUUGAACGCAAGUCGCGCCCAAAACCAUCCGGUUGAGGGCACGCCUGCCUGGGCGUCAC